rnacentral:rRNA from 1 species
CGAGGCGAACCGGGGAAACUGAAACAUCUCAGUACCCCGAGGAAAAGAAAUCAACCGAGAUUCCCCCAGUAGCGGCGAGCGAACGGGGAGCAGCCCAGAGUCAACAUCAAUAUUUACCACAGGAGAAGGGUCUGGAAAGGCCGGCAAUAAAGGGUGAUAGCCCCGUAUCUAAAGCGGUAAGUGUUGUGAACUCGAAGAGUAGGGCGGGACACGUGUUAUCCUGUCUGAAUAUGGGGGGACCAUCCUCCAAGGCUAAAUACCCCUGACUGACCGAUAGUGAACCAGUACCGUGAGGGAAAGGCGAAAAGAACCCCGGCGAGGGGAGUGAAAUAGAACCUAAAACCGUGUACGUACAAGCAGUAGGAGCACCCGAAAGGGUGUGACUGCGUACCUUUUGUAUAAUGGGUCAGCGACUUAUAUUCUGUAGCAAGGUUAACCGCAUAGGGGAGCCGUAGGGAAACCGAGUCUUAACUGGGCGUUAAGUUGCAGGGUAUAGACCCGAAACCCGGUGAUCUAGCCAUGAGCAGGUUGAAG